rnacentral:rRNA from 1 species
GACGAACGCUGGCGGUAUGCUUAACACAUGCAAGUCGAACGAGAAGUCUUUUAUUGAACCUUCGGGGGAUAUAAGAGACAGACAGUGGCGAACGGGUGAGUAACGCGUGGGCAACCUACCUAUCGGAGCGGGAUAGCCUCGAGAAAUCGGGAGUAAAACCGCAUAACACGGAUAUAUCGCAUGAUGAAUCCGUCAAAACUCCGGUGCCGAUAGAUGGGCCCGCGUCUGAUUAGCUAGUUGGUAAGGUAAGGGCUUACCAAGGCAACGAUCAGUAGCCGGUCUGAGAGGGCGAACGGCCACACUGGAACUGAGACACGGUCCAGACUCCUACGGGAGGCAGCAGUGGGGAAUAUUGCGCAAUGGGGGCAACCCUGACGCAGCAAUACCGCGUGAGUGAAGAAGGUUUUCGGAUCGUAAAGCUCUGUUAUUGGGGAAGAAGCAGGACGUACCCAAUGAGAG